rnacentral:rRNA from 1 species
AACGAACGCUGGCGGCAUGCCUAACACAUGCAAGUCGAACGAGACCUUCGGGUCUAGUGGCGCACGGGUGCGUAACGCGUGGGAACCUGCCCUUAGGUUCUGAAUAACUCCCCGAAAGGGGUGCUAAUACCGGAUAAUGUCUUCGGACCAAAGAUUUAUCGCCUUUUGAUGGGCCCGCGUUGGAUUAGCUAGUUGGUAGGGUAAAAGCCUACCAAGGCGACGAUCCAUAGCUGGUCUGAGAGGAUGAUCAGCCACACUGGGACUGAGACACGGCCCAGACUCCUACGGGAGGCAGCAGUGGGGAAUAUUGGACAAUGGGCGAAAGCCUGAUCCAGCAAUGCCGCGUGAGUGAUGAAGGACUUAGGGUUGUAAAGCUCUUUUAACCGGGAUGAUAAUGACAGUACCGGGAGAAUAAGCUCCGGCUAACUCCGUG